UGUGUCCUCACAUGAACUCCGACUAGGGACAACUUUAGAAUAACCAUACAAGUAAAGAGUUUUACACACAAUUCACAUAAUUGCAAAUCAAUUCAAGUAGCCUUUAAUGGAUAUUCAAGGAACACAAUAUAAAUCAUGGAUACAAAUGGAAUAUCAUCAUCUCUAUGAUUGCCUCUAGGGCAUACCUCCAACAUAAUUAUAUGUGGACUAAGUCCACUUAAGGCAAACAUAAAUUUAACCAAUCGGGCCUGAUAAAUAAUUGAUUUCAUUUCAAUUUUUAUCCGGUUGGUAAAAUAAUAAAAAGAAUGCACAUAUUUAUGAAUACAAGAAAACAAAUUAUGUUCCCCAUCGAGACAACCACUACCAUAUUGUUCAUCACAUAUCACAAAAUAUUACAAGAUAACUGUCUCAUAAAGAACAGAGAUUAACA
rnacentral:lncRNA from 1 species